UUUGGGUUGUAAACUCCUUUUCUCAGGGAAGAAGCACUGACGGUACCUGAGGAAUCAGCCUCGGCUAACUCCGUGCCAGCAGCCGCGGUAAUACGGAGGAGGCAAGCGUUAUCCGGAAUUAUUGGGCGUAAAGCGUUCGUAGGCGGCAUUUCAAGUCUGCUGUCAAAGGCCGAGGCUCAACUUCGGAAAGGCAGUGGAAACUGAAAAGCUAGAGGUCGGUAGGGGCAGAGGGAAUUCCCAGUGUAGCGGUGAAAUGCGUAGAUAUUGGGAAGAACACCGGUGGCGAAAGCGCUCUGC
rnacentral:rRNA from 1 species